AAUUAAACCCGAUUGGAGCGGGAAGCUCCCGAUUUUAUCGGGACUAAAGUGAAAAGCGGGGCUGCAG
rnacentral:misc_RNA from 1 species